rnacentral:rRNA from 1 species
AGCUCCAAUAGCGUAUACUAAAGUUGUUGCAGUUAAAAAGCUCGUAGUUGAAUUUCUGACUUUGAGGCGCGACCGACCCCGUGUGGGCCUGUGUCUGCGAAUCGAGGUCAUCCUCGAGGAAUGCGUAUCUGUCAUUCAGUUGAUGGGUACGAGUACCUCGUCAUUUACUGUGAGCAAAAUAGAGUGUUCAAAGCAGGCUUACGCCGUUGAAUACAUUAGCAUGGAAUAAUAAGAUAGGACCUUGGUCUAUUUUGUUGGUUAGUACUCCAAGGUAAUGAUUAAUAGGGACAGUUGGGGGUAUUCGUAUUCAAUUGUCAGAGGUGAAAUUCUUGGAUUUAUGGAAGACGAACUACUGCGAAAGCAUUUACCAAGGAUGUUUUCA